UACGAAGGGUGCAAGCGUUAAUCGGAAUUACUGGGCGUAAAGGGUGCGUAGGCGGUUCGUUAAGUCUGUCGUGAAAUCCCCGGGCUCAACCUGGGAAUGGCGAUGGAUACUGGCGAGCUAGAGUGUGUCAGAGGAUGGUGGAAUUCCCGGUGUAGCGGUGAAAUGCGUAGAGAUCGGGAGGAACAUCAGUGGCGAAGGCGGCCAUUUGGGACAACACUGACGCUGAAGCACGAAAGCGUGGGGAGCAAACAGG
rnacentral:rRNA from 1 species